rnacentral:rRNA from 1 species
UACGGAGGGUGCAAGCGUUAUCCGGAUUCACUGGGCUUAAAGGGUGCGUAGGCGGGCAGGUAAGUCAGUGGUGAAAUCCUUGAGCUUAACUCGAGAACUGCCAUUGAUACUAUCUGUCUUGAAUAUUGUGGAGGUAAGCGGAAUAUGUCAUGUAGCGGUGAAAUGCUUAGAUAUGACAUAGAACACCUAUUGCGAAGGCAGCUUACUACGCAUAUAUUGACGCUGAGGCACGAAAGCGUGGGGAGCAAACAGG